rnacentral:rRNA from 1 species
UACGGAGGGUGCAAGCGUUGUCCGGAAUCACUGGGCGUAAAGGGCGCGUAGGCGGCUCAUGAAGGCUGUGGUGAAAGUCCGGGGCUCAACCUCGGAUCGGCCGUGGCGACUCGUGGGCUGGAGCACUGUAGAGGCGGGUGGAAUUCCGGGUGUAGCGGUGGAAUGCGUAGAGAUCCGGAAGAACACCAGUGGCGAGGGCGGCCCGCUGGGCAGUGGCUGACGCUGAGGCGCGACAGCGUGGGGAGCAAACAGG